ensembl:lncRNA
AUGGUAGUUUCUGUUUUCUGCACUGAAUUCCAAAUCCUGGGGGAGGGGCCCUAGGACAAGAGAUAAUAAGAGGGGCCGAAAGCAAGCAGGGCAGGAACAGUGUGGCAGGAAGCUGGGGCCAUGGAGGGAUGUGGCCCAGAAGAAGUCUGCUGUGUUAGAGGAGGCCCGUGAAUUUUAGGAACUCUGAUUUCUAACUUCGAUGGCAUGUCCUGCCCAUGGGCUCAUUUCCCUGUCUUCCCAUGAAACCUCCAGUAAAUGUCUGGUGCCAAGCAACCUAUAUCAGUGGUUCUCAGUAACGAAGGGCAGUAUGGCAGCUCCUGAGUGGCAGGUGACCAGCAACACAAUGCCCUGAGGCCAGAGAGGAGGCCAUGCUGACCACAGGGGCUGGAUAACCCUGAAGGAGCCAGCUGUAGCAGGGACUGACCCAGGAGCUGACAUGAACCAAGCUCCCCCUCCUUCUGAGACCCCUAAGAGGGUCCAACCCAGGAUGCCACGUUGCUUUCAGUUGUCAUGUCUCUUUAUUCUUCUUUAAUCUGGAACAGUUCCUCAGUCUUGUCUUUCAUGGCCUUGACAUUUUUGAAGAGUUAUUCUGCAGAUCAGCGCUGCUCAAUAUAACUUUUUUUUUUUUAACUAUCCAGUAGAACUUUCUGGGAGAUAGAAAAUUAUGAAAUCUAUAUCUGUGCUGUCCAAUAUGAUAGCCACAUGAAAAUCACAUUUGGAAUGUGGCUAGCAGGGGUGAGGAACUGAAUUUUACAUUUUAUUUAAUUUUAAUUAAAAUAGCUACAUGUGGCAAGUGGCUACUGUAUUGGACAGGACAGCUGUUGAAUGUCCCUCAUUUGGGGUUUGUUUGAUGUUUCUUCAUGAUUCGCUUCAGAUUAUGAGUUUUAGCAAGGAUACCAUAGAUGUGAUGUUGUGUCUACCUUUGGUUCCCCGCCAAGAUGGCAGGAAACCACUGAGGCUAGGAUUUUUAUUGUGGCAAAAUAUAUAUAAAAUUUACCAUUUUAACCAUUUUUAAGUGUACAGUUCUGUGGCAGUAAGGACAUUCACAUUGUUGUGCAUGUGUCCCCACCAUCCAUCUCUAGAACUUUCUCACCUUCCCAAACUGAAACCCUCUACCCAUUAAACAAAAACUCCCCAUUCCCCCUCCCCCAGCCCCUGGCAACCACCAUCCUACUCUCGGUCUCUAUGAAGCUGACUACUCUAGGGGCCUCAUAUAAGUGGAAUCAUACAGUAUUUGUCCUUUUGCAAAUGGCUUAUUUCACUUAGCAUAAUGUCUUCAAAGUUCGACCAUGUUAUGGCAUUUGUUAGAAUUUCCUUCCUUUUUAAUGUAUUCCAUUGUAUGAAUAUACUACAUUGUGUCCAUCAGUAGACAUCUGGGUUGGUUGCUUCUACUUUUUGGCUAUCGUGAAUAAUGCUGCUAUGAACGUAGGUACACAAAUAUCUGUUUGAGUUCCUGCCUCCAUUUCUUUGGGUAUGUAUCCAGAAGUGGAAUUGUUGGAUCAUAUAGUAAUUCUAUUUUUAAUUUUUUGAGGAACUGCCAUACUAUUUUCCACAGCAGCUGCACCAUUUCACAUUCCCACCAGCAAUGUACAAGGGUUCCAAUUUCUCCACGUCCCUGCCAACACUUGUCAUUUUCUGUUUGUUGUAUAAUAGCCACCCUAAUGGUUGAUAUCUGCUAUAAACUGAAUGUUUAUGCCUACCCCUCCAAUUCAUAUAUUGAAACCUAAUCCCUAAGGGGAUGGUAUUUGGAGGUGGGGCCUUUGGGAGGUGAUUAGGUCAUAAGGGUGAAGCCCUGAUGAAUGGAAUUAGUGCUCUUUUUAGGAGACCCAAAAGAGCUCCCUUGAGGACACAGCGAGAAGACGGCGUCUGGGAACCAGGAAGCAGCCCUUACCAAACGUGGAACUGCAGGCACCUUGACCCUGGACUUCCCAGCCUUCAGAACUGGGAAAUAAUGUUUGUUGUUUAAGCCACUCAGUCUGUGAUAUUUUUGUUAUAGCAGCCCGAAUGGACUAAGAAAGUAUCUCAUUGUGUUUUUGAGGAAGCUAUAUUUUUUUAAUACCCUGCGAGAUGCAGCAAAGACGGGUGACAACAGCAUUUGGAAGCCAGUCACCACACUCCCAAUGUUCUUCCUGCACGAAUUAGAUAUGAGGUCACUGGACUUGGGGUGGGUAGCAGGCAGGAGCAAUUCUCGAACCAAUCAAUAUUCACCCUCUCUUGGCUAAACAAGACAGGGCUGACUUUAUUAGUUGAGUUCAGGUCUGAUAUUAACACUUUGUAAAUGCUGAAUAUUGUGAAAUAUCCACAGAGUUACCCACUAAACUAACAAAAUCUUACCUAAAGAGUGUCCAGGCAUCUUCCUACAAUUCAGUCUGGGAUUCAGUACUGGCUUUGGAGACAGGUAUGUACUGACGCAUUUGCACAUGAUUUCUGCCAAACCUCUUAACCCCUCAGUGUCUUUCUUCCUUUUUUAAGUUGCAGUAUAAAGUGUAACAAUAAGUGUACAGUUGAUGCAUUUUUACAUAUGCCCAGGCUCAUGUACCCACCACUCACAUCAAGAUAUAGAACAUCUCCAUCCCCCUAGAAAGCUCCCUUGUAGCCCAUCCGUCACCAUCCCCCAGGGGUUAACCAGUGAAAUGAUUUCUACUUAUGUAGAUGAGGUUUACCUGUUUUUGAAUUUUACCUUUCCUUGUAACUGGAAACAGUGGCAUGUACUCUUUGUGCUUGACUUGGUUAGUGCCCAUUCAUCCCGGUUAGAUUCAUCCAUGUUGUGUGUAUCAAUCAUUUGUUCUUUUUCACUGCUGUAUACUAUUCCAUGAUAUCAGCACAUUACAGUUUGUUUCUCCAUUUUCCUGCCGAUGGACAUUUGGUUGUUUCCAGAGUUUUCCUGUUGUGAAUAAAGCCACUAUGAACACCAUCUUUUGUGCGUGUUUUUAGGUGGACACACACCCAGGAGUGGUUGACGGGUGAUAGGAUUGGCACAUAUUUAACUUUAGAAAGGGCUGCCAAACAUUUUCC